CCCCCCCCCCACACACACUCCUUUCCCCCAGCCCUCUCUAGCUUCUGCCUGUCUUUCUGGGAAUUUGAUUUAGGGUUGCAGUGGAAGACUUUCUGGAGCCAGCUGCAGCUAAAGCCUGCAAACAGGGAAAAGCACACUUGGAUGCUAGCGUGGGUUUCUCCUAUUUUAUGGGCAAUGAAAUAAGUGGUGUAGAGUCAGGAAGAAGGAGGACUAAAUGUAGCCCUUUUCUGAUGGCCUCGGUGGUGGAGGCUUUUCUGCUGAGUCAAGCAAAUAUUCUCCAGCUUUGUCCCAGGGGCCUCAGUGCCUGGCUGUACUUGGCAAGGUAAUGUGCAGGUGUUCCUGCCCCGACCAGCCCAUCUUCCUCCAUCAUGAAGCUGCUGCCCCCCCUUCCUGUCUGUUCCCUCAUCUCCCCCCAGUAACAUUCUUAUUUUGUUUGUUGCCUUGAUAAACUGUGACAUACUGUUCUGAGCUCUUCUCGGUGCAGUGCAGAAACCGGAAGGACUAUUAACAGGUUUUGAUUUUCUGUCUGUGCUUUAAGUCUCUUUGAUGAGGAUUAAAGAACAAUAUUUUCUCAAAGAGCAGGUUGUAAGGGAUGGCCUUUGGAGGGUGUUUUUGAGGGGUGCUGUGGCUCCUGUGAUUGCCAGAUCUACAUCUGGACUUUGCCACAGCUUUGCAGGGUAACUUUGGUGCCACAGCUCCUCUUGUGCCUCAGUUUCCCCAACCAUUCCAUGGGAACAUUAAUGUCUUCCCCUCCUUACCUCACAGGGAUAUUGUUAAACCCAUCCAGGAAGCUGGGGAUGAUGCUAUGCAAGUUGGGAGUUUUAGCCAUGGAUUUGGGCUUCAGUGCAUGCCCGUGUCUCCCCAUCUCCCACAGACAAAGCCUCCUCCCAUCAGAGUUCCUGCCUCAGAUCCAAAGCCCAAGAUCAGCCUUUCUGGGCUAUUAGUUCCUUAAGACCCUCCUUGGCCUUUCAAACAACUGGGCCCCAGUCUUUCUUUUUCCUUUCGCAAGGAAGAAGCUCUUUGGACAGUGGGAUCCUACCAAGACCACAUUAAUUGGGAGCCUGGCUUCUCCUUGCUGGAAAUACAGCAAGAGCUAAAGGAGCUAAUGAUUCCAAAACCUGCUCUGAGGCCAGAGUGUUGGUUUUCCCAAUCUCUUCAAUGACUUUGAACAUUUGGGGACAGGUGAAGGGCACUCGAGGCCAACGGGGUGCUCCCGGCCUGGGGAAAUGGUGGUACAGCAUGCAGGUAGCUCUGUGUAUGUGCAUAUGGUCAUCCUCAUCACCAACCCCAAUAAAGCAUUUCCUUUUCAAGUCAGAGCAUGUCUGAAAGUAAAGGGUUUGCUGAGAGCUGGGCUCUCCAGGGACUCUGGUUGCCGUAGCAACCUUCCAGACUGUUCUCUCUAUCUUCCGAUUUGGGCAGUAAAGGAGAACAGGAGAAUACAUCUUCCCAGCUUCUGAAAUGGGAACACCUCCCACCUAUUGGUUUAGGGGCUCCUAGGAUCAGGACAGGAAUGUGUGACUUUCAGAAAAUGAGGGGGAAACAGGUUCCCCAAACUUCUUCCUGGGGCCUUUUCUCCUGGCUUGCCCACCCAGUCACUGAAGCUGCCUCAUCUUAUCCCUGAUUCUUUAGAAACUUGAAUGCUCUGUUAAACCAAUUAAACCAAUGUCAAUGUUGUCUUUUUCAAAACCAUGAGGGGAAUGGGAUAAGGGACACGUUCUUCCAAGGCCUCCAAGCUGGGCCUCGCCGAGAGUCAAGUGGUGUCUGUCAUCCUAGUUCCAUGGAGCCCAUCCUCAGAGAAAGACUCCUCCCAGCUCCAGGACCCUGGGAGAGGGGCGGCUCCUUCCUCCCAGGAAAGGUCUGUUCCUGGGAGGAAUCUCAUGGGAUAGGCUCCUUAAGACAUGGAAGACAACCCAAGUGGCUGUGUCCUGGCCUCGUUUCUGUGGAGGAUUUUGCUAAAGCCAUCUCCCUGUGACUCUGAGUCUCUUCAUGCCGAGGAGGAGCCUGUGUUGCUGAGACAGCCGAGUGGUGAUUUCCCAGCUACCAGCACGAUCGGAUUCACCUGCCUCAAGCUGACGCCGGCCGCAGCUCCCAAAGGUCUUUCAGGAUCUGUCCGGCUCCCCUGAGACGUGGGGUGCCCCUCCCGCCUGCUCAGCCCCCAGGAGAGAGGGACAGCUGGCUGGUGUGGCCUCUCAGGGCGCAGGCUGGCACAGUGAUCUGCCGGAGGAUACGCGGACACGCUGCUGACGGCAGCUGGACAGAGAGGGCCGGACCCUCCACUUCAGGGGACAAGAUCUAAGCUUAUGCCUCCUCGGCGGUCUCCCCAAAGCCAAGCCCAGACUGCGAAGAGCUGAGACAGGCCCGGCUGGCAUUAAAGAUGGGGCCCAGGACGUUGGGGUGAGGCUGUCGGGGGAGGGGGAGAGCUGGUGAUGGGGGCGAGAGAGAUGAGGUUUGGGAGCUCAGAGGUGAAGGAUGUCGGAGGGCGCGUGGCUGUGCCUCAGACGCACCCAGGAAAGCGUGUCUGUGGGAGAUUAACAAAUAAACAUGGCAGAGUCUCGGAGGCCGUGCGUUUUGCUGUAUGAAAAUGUCAACAGCUGAGUGAGGCAGAUGAGUCAACCGUCAUGACAAAAGCAGGAAUCAGGUGCCUGGAAAAAAUAUGCUGACAAGAGCAGACCGAGGAAGCUGUGAUGCCAUCUGGGGUCAGGAAGAGAUUUCUGUUCCAAUGCCAGCUGCGGGGGCUGAGACAGUGCGGUGCUGUGCUGGCGUGGAGUCUGGAAUAACCCAGCAGAAUCUGACAUCAUGGAUAUGAACCAGCAAAAGACAAGAAAAGCCAGGAAACUACUGAUGAAGAAAAGCUACUAAGAAUGGAUAUGAAACUACAGCAAUUAAAUAUUUAUAGUACUGGAAUGGCUAAAGUAUAGAAAAGAUAAAUCAGUAACUCAGAAAAGGGAGCCCAUACCAAACACAUACAUUAUGCUUGAUGUAUAACAGAAUUUCACAGUAGCUCAAUGGAGGAAAUAAGGUAUUUUAAAUUAGAAUCACUUGGAGAACAUAAUAUACAUAUGCAUAAAAAUGAGACUGGGUUACUAUCUCAUAUCAUAAAACAUUACCGCAGAUAGAUCAACGACUUAGAUAUGUAUUAAAACAACAAGACUUUGAGACAAUUUAAGCUACUGCAUUUUCCCCCCUCUUUGGUAGGCAACAUUUUCUUAAACAAUUCAGAGCUAUAAAUUACAAGGAAAAAUAUUCAUUAGGUAGUUUAUUUUAAAAUUAAGAACUUCAGUCUAUAAAAAAUACAGAAUGAAGAAAGUGAAUUAAGCCACAAACUGGAAGAAGAACUUUAUAAAAUGGAAUUGGGUUAGCAUCUAACCUAUGGAAAAAACUCUCACAAAUCAAUGAGUACAGGACAGCUAAAGUAAAAUGUACAAAGCCUUGCAGAUCCAUGCUAAGAGUAUGGUCAUUUGUAAAAGAUCUUUACUUCACUAGUAACCAGAAAAAUAGAAGUUAAUAUGCAGUGAGGUAUCCUACCUCACAUCCAGUAGGAUGGUUCUAGACAAAACCAAACCACAAAUCACAGCCAAAUCAGAAAAUAACUUGGUGAGGAUGUCAGGCUUACAACUGGAGGGAGCACAAGGUGGCACAGUGGCCAUGGAAAUAGUGUGCAGCUUAUUAAAAAAUUACAAAUGGUGGGCCCUCCCUGGUGGCGCAGCGGGUUCAAGCACAG